rnacentral:lncRNA from 1 species
UCAGUGAGAAGGUUCUGACCACAGAAAGGUAUGACCUCUGAAAGUUGGCCUCUAGUGAGCUAGGUCUCUCCACUAGUCUCCAUGUCACUAGGGUUCCACAAUCUCCAGAAACAUCACCGUCAGCUGGGAAUGCUGAGUGCUCGGAUACAGGGACCCAUGGAAGAUACUUCUGAGUGGAACUAUACCACCUGGGGAGAAGAACUGUGAGCAUCUGAUGGCUGACUCCAUGGAGACGAGGAGGAAUGGCAACAAGGAGGAGGCAGACCUCAGUUUCUGAGGCGGGGAGCACAAGGCAGGUUGGAGAGGAAGAAAGGAAGUCAGGGCUGGCCACAUGGGGCUGAGAUGUACAUAGAGCAUCCAAAUGGAGAGGUGUGGUGGGCGGUGCCAUGAGGGGGCAUCUGUAAUGGGCUGGGGAGAAAAGAAUGGAGGAGAAGAAGGGAGAGAGAGAGAGAGAGAGAGAGAGAGAGAGAGAGAGAGAGAGAGAGAGAGAGAGAGAGAAUAUGAGAGAGAGAAUAUGAGAGAGAAUAUGAGAGAGAGAAUAUGAGAGAGAAUGAUAGUAUGAGAGUGGGCAGAGCCUACUGGAAGACUUGGGAACACCACCCUAGGAAUGCCCAGAUGGAUGCAGAGGGCAAGGAUGGAACAUGGAACAACAGGUGACAGACAGAGUGAGCCCAGCCAUUGCUCACCUGACUUCCCAGGGUUCCUGAUGAAACUGGAUUUCACAAGGCAGCUCACAAAUGGACCUUGGAGAAACUUCUGAGCACCGACUAAAGUCAGGGCAAGUCCUCGUCAUCUCUGCCAAUUGAACAUGGUUCCCUGAGGAUCCGUGGAGUAAAACAAGUUAAAAAUACGAAGAGAACUCUUGACAGAGGCUCAGUUCCUCACGAUCAGGGCUAUGAGGAGGCUUGGCAGCAAAAUCUGGAACAUCUGACUUAACAUGCUGCUGAAGAAGUCAGAGAGUGGGCUCCCGUGCCCCUAAAAGGCAGUGGAACCUGGCCUCUGGAUUUAGCUGCCCAACAAAUGGAGACAGUGUUGCCACAAAGGGGUCAUGGUCCAGGAGGCAGGCCUACAAAGAGGUAUCACUGUGAUUAGAACCCACAGGGGAAAGGAAAGUUAAGAGAGAAGGGGAUGGAGACAGGAAACUGGCAUGAGGACCUGGGCUCAGAUCUCCAGUGGCCAUGAAAUGCUGGGUGUGAUGACGCACCCGUGACCCCAGAAGUGGACUUCUGAUUCAAACCACGUCCCCUGACACAGCCUCUCCCAGCCUACUACUGAGAUGUCCAGCUGCAAUGAAGAAACCAUGACUAGAGAGCAUUUUGGACACGGGCCCUUGAGAGAAAUGAGCACACAACCUGCCAGAAGACAGUGAUAUGGCCUCUUGCAUCUGUAGUAAAGACCACAAGGAGCACUGUUGGUGCCUGAGGCUCAGCAACACAUGGAACCUGCAAACUACGUCACAGCAAUUCUUGAUUCACUUUCUCCUUAAGAGGCUCCAGUCUCUGCCAGGCUAAGAAGAGAACAGAGUAACUCCUCCCUCAGCAGCGAUGGACUGCCAUGGAAGCCUCUGAUAAGGAUGGGGCCCCGGGGCACGCCUUCCUUCAUGCUGGAUUUUGAUGGUCUUGGCCUCAUGCGGGUCUUUCGUGGGGAGCCACUUUUGCUGUGAGCUGGUGCAUGCAACAUCAGUGUCAUGUCUACAAGCCAGUAUUUCCUAACCCUCCUUUCUAUCCACCUGCUCUUGCAUUCUUCCUACUCCAAGAGUAUGUGGUUUCCCUGCCAGCAAUGUCCAGCACUGGCUAAGACCAGUGAUGCCUUUUCUUCCCCAGAAGCCCGUACAGCACAAUGCAAGCUAGCCAGGCUCUUGAGGAUGAUUUCUUGAAGCCUCACAUC